rnacentral:rRNA from 1 species
AGCGAACGUUAGCGGCGGGCUUAACACAUGCAAGUCGUACGCGAAAGGGCUUCGGCCCCGGUAGCGUGGCGUCCGGGUGAGUAACACGUAGAGAAUCUACCCUGAAGUGGGGGAUAACGUUCCGAAAGGAACGCUAAUACCGCGUAAGACCACGACGGCUACGGCCGAUGCGGUCAAAGGUGGCCUCUGUAAACAAGCUAUCGCUUCAGGAUGACUCUGCGGCCCAUCAGCUAGUUGGUAGGGUAAUGGCCUACCAAGGCAAAGACGGGUAGCUGGUCUGAGAGGAUGAUCAGCCACACUGGCACUGAAACACGGGCCAGACUCCUACGGGAGGCAG